CUUUUGUUUUGCUCACUCUGAUAAACCCUGAAAUAGUUUUCUUCCCAGUUUUGUGCUGAGAACAAGAAAGCUGUUCAGGUUUGCCAGUCAACUAUGUCAUCACUUUCUCUAUAACUUCCUGCCAUAAUUUGAAGAAGUCUACAGGGUGUGUUGCUUGCCAUAAUGGAUUUAAAAAAGAUAAAAGGCUGGAAUAUGCUCAAAGAAGAGGGAUAUUUUCAACCCUGGUCACACUGACAGUCUCACAGUUGAAAAGGAACUGCUGGGGCAUAGCAUAUGGAAACUUAAGUAGUGCUUCUAAGAAAACCUGCAGGUCUAAAAUAAGUGGGACAAGAACACAGAGGAAUUGUUACUCAAGAGAAGAUGGGGUAGGGCUUGCUUUGCCACAUGUGCAGGAAAACAAAAUAUCAUACAGGGUUGGAGUGCAAUUUUCUGAGUAGGAAGACAGUGCUGCUCAGAGACAGAAGACAAAUUAUUACGUGUCUGAUUUCUGCAAAUCUUGCUUCACAGGACUUGGAAGAGCCAAAUGCCGAGGAAGACAUGCAAGGGUUAAUAUAAUUUCCAUUCCAGCGAGUUUUGCUUGCCAUUAUUUUCUUUUUCUUUUCUCCCUUUUAACUGAUUCAUAGCAUAAAAUCUUCCUGGACACCUAAUUAUCAAGCCAGCUCACAGUCACAGCUGUCUGCUUGGAGAACCCAUUAGAUGCAGCAGUUGAAGCCUCCAUAAUUCCCCAAACUUCCCGGUUGUGAAUAUUAAGAAAAGAUUUUUACAUGUCAUAUGCAAUUCGGAGGUGGUGUGAAUGGCGUUGGAAAUGACGAGCUCUGAAUGCUUGUCCAUCACUCCAUUCACUGGUUACAGGUGGUCUCAUUUUCCACUUUCAGAUAUCGGCUAGCUAUGACAGCAGGCACUUAAUUUGCAUGUUCGACAGACAACAAACGGCCCUGUGCAUGUCAAAAUAGGUGGUGAUGCGUGACAGUUCCUACACAAUACUGUCUCCUCUUUGCUUGACCUUUGACCUCCCUGCAUGUCUUCUUUCACAAUCAGAAAAAAAUGCACUUUUAGGCUUUGGAAUAAAUUUGAUACCAAAUUGAUUAUUUUCCUUUCU
rnacentral:lncRNA from 14 species